rnacentral:tRNA from 1 species
ACCGGGAUGGCCGAGUGGUUAAGGCGUUGGACUUAAGUUCCAAUGGACAAAAGUCCUCGUGGGUUUAAACCCCACUCCUGGUA